AUGUCGUUCAACGCGUUGGAAUUAGUGUGUUGGAACGUUAGAGGCCUUAACAAUCCGGCCAAAAGGAAGGCGCUUGGGGGUUUUGUGGAUUCUACUCGUGCGGCGAUUGUUUGUAUCCUAGAAACUAAACUUGAGGUGGUGGAAACUUUUGUAAUCUUGCAAUGCAUGGGACCGAACUAUGGUGGUUUCACUUACUUACCGGCGUCGGACACUAGAGGCGGUAUCUUUGUGGCAUGGGACACCACACGGGUCCUCUUGUCAAACUAUAUCAACGACUCUCAUAGCAUUUCGGCGUACGUCUCGCCCAAGGAGGGAGAGCCAUGGUGGCUCGCAAUAGUUUAUGGGCCUCAGGAAGAUGAGCGCAAAAUUAACUUCCUUAAUGAGCUCUCAGAGCGUAGAUCACUAUGUCCAGGGCCAUGCCUAGUCUUGGGAGAUUUCAACCUCAUCCUUUAUGCAGCAGACAAAAACAACUCUAACUUGGACAAGAGAAUGAUGGGGAAGUUCAAACACUUUGUGGAGGAUAACGCGCUCAAGGAGCUCUUCUUGCAUGGACGCAAAUUCACGUGGAGCAAUGAAAGGGAGACGCCCACGCUCACAAAGAUUGACCGUGCUUUUGUUUCCGUUGAUUGGGAGCUAGAUCACCCGAGUGCUUGCUGCAAGCUCUAUCAACCGAGCACUCCGAUCACUGCCCACUCCAUCUUGCACUUGAGGAGCACAUGCAUGCCAGAAGGAGGUUCCGUUUUGAAAAGUUCUGGGUCAAAAUGGAUGGGUUUUUGGAUGUAG
rnacentral:rRNA from 1 species